AAAAAAUAUAUAUGGUUGUCAAACAGUCUUUUUUCAAACUUGAGUCUUGAAAAUGAGGGGGUCAUCUUAUAAUCGGGGUCGUCUUAUAUUCGGGCCAAUACGGUAAUAAAAAAUCACUUC